rnacentral:sRNA from 1 species
UGCAAAUAACUUUUCUCGUUCAGGUCCUG